GGGGGGGGGGGGGGGGGGGCCUGGUGCGGGGGGUGAGGGCGCGGGAGGGGGGGCUGGCUUCUCGGGAUGAGUUGCGAACGGUUGGGUGACGCGUAGGUAACCUGCCUGGUAGCGGGGGAUCACUAUUGGCAACGAUCGCUAAUACCGCAUAAGAGUAGAGGUUGCAUGACAUUUCCUUAAAGGGUGCAAUUGCAUCACUACCAUCUGGCCCUGCUUUGUAUUAGCGCGUUGGUUCGUUAACGGCUCACCAAGGCGACGAUACUUAGCCGACCUGAGAGGGUGAUCGGAGACAAUGGGACUGAGACACGGCCCAGAAUCCUACGGGAGGCAGCAGUAGGGAAUCUUCGGCAAUGGACGGAAGUCUGACCGAGCAACGCCGCGUGAGUGAAGAAGGUUUUCGGAUCGUAAAGCUCUGUUGUAAGAGAAGAACGAGUGGGAGAGGGGAAAGUGCACACUGUGACGGUAUCUUACCAGAAAGGGACGGCUAACUACGUG
rnacentral:rRNA from 1 species